UGGUCAAUUUCAGAGUAUGUGCCAUAUGGUGAUGAAAAAAAUGUAUAUUCUGUUGUUUUGGGGUGGAGACUUCUGUAAAUGUCUAUCACAUCCAUUUGGUUCAACCCUAAUGUUAGGUCCUGAACAUCUUUGUUAAUUUUCUGCCUUAUCUGUCUAAUACUGUCAGUGGAGUGUGGAAGUCUCCCACGAUUACUGUGUGGUAGUCUAUGUUGCUUAGAACUUGCUUUAUAAGUCUGGGUACUCAAUUCAUCAAGAAGAACUCAUUAUCCUGUGUUGGGUGCAUAUAUAUUUAGGAUAGUUAGGUCUUCUUGAUAAAUUGAACCCUUUGCCAUAUGUAAUACCCUUCCUUGUCCUUUUUUAUCUUUGUUGAUUUGAAAUCUGUUUUCUCUGAAAUUAGAAUUGAAGCCCCUGCAUUUUCCAUUUGCUUAGUAGAUUUUUCUCUACCCCUUCAUAGAAUGUCAUUCCCUCAAUAGGGUUACUAUCCCUUCAUUGAGUGUCAUUAUGUGUGAGAUGUGUCUCUUGAAGACAGCAUACCAUUGGGUCUUGCUUUUUUAUCCAGUUUGCCAUUCUGUGCCUUUUAAGUGGCUCAUCAUGCAGACAGGAUCUCACUUUGUUGCCCAGACUGGUCUCAAACUUCUGGCCUCAAGUGACCCACCCACCUCAGCCUCCCAAAGUAUCAACAGCAUCAUUUUAAACAGCAUUUUUGUUUAUUUGGUUGGUUGAACAGCUCCUAAGGGAAGAUUAAGUUGAGAUAAACAGAGAAGCAAGGCCGAGGAGCCUGCGACCCGGCUCCCUCACUGCCCCAGCGCAGCC
rnacentral:lncRNA from 10 species